UGCCAGCCGCCGCGGUAAUACGGAGGGGGCUAGCGUUGUUCGGAAUUAUUGGGCGUAAAGGGCGCGUAGGCGGUUUGGUAAGUCAGUCGUGAAAUCCCUCGGCUCAACUGAGGAACUGCGAUUGAUACUGCCAAACUUGAGUCCCGGAGAGGGUAGUGGAAUUCCCAGUGUAGCGGUGAAAUGCGUAGAUAUUGGGAGGAACACCAGUGGCGAAGGCGGCUACCUGGACGGGUACUGACGCUGAGGCGCGAAAGCGUGGGGAGCAAACAGGAUUAGAUA
rnacentral:rRNA from 1 species